AGACAUGUUAGUGAAGUUUUCGGAUGGAGCUGAUAUGUUUUAGCGGCGGACGGGUGAGUAACGCGUGAGCAACCUUUCCUUGACAGGGGGAUAACGUACCGAAAGGUACACUAAUACCGCAUAAGGCCACAGCACCGCAUGGUGCAGGGGUAAAACUCCGGUGGUAUGAGAUGGACCCGCGUCUGAUUAGGUAGUUGGUGAGGUAACGGCCCACCAAGGCGACGAUCAGUAGCCGGCCUGAGAGGGUGAACGGCCACAUUGGGACUGAGACACGGCCCAAACUCC
rnacentral:rRNA from 1 species